rnacentral:rRNA from 1 species
GUACACUCCUGCGGGAGGCAGCAGUGGGGAAUAUUGCACAAUGGGCGCAAGCCUGAUGCAGCCAUGCCGCGUGUGUGAAGAAGGCCUUCGGGUUGUAAAGCACUUUCAGCGGGGAGGAAGGCGAUACGGUUAACAACCGUGUUGAUUGACGUUACCCGCAGAAGAAGCACCGGCUAACUCCGUGCCAGCAGCCGCGGUAAUACGGAGGGUGCAAGCGUUAAUCGGAAUUACUGGGCGUAAAGCGCACGCAGGCGGUCUGUCAAGUCGGAUGUGAAAUCCCCGGGCUCAACCUGGGAACUGCAUUCGAAACUGGCAGGCUUGAGUCUUGUAGAGGGGGGUAGAAUUCCAGGUGUAGCGGUGAAAUGCGUAGAGAUCUGGAGAAAUACCGGUGGCGAAGGCGGCCCCCUGGACAAAGACUGACGCUCAGGUGCGAAAGCGUGGGAAGCAAACAGGAUUAGAAACCCGGGUAGUCCCAUG